rnacentral:rRNA from 1 species
CGCGCGUAGGCGGUUACGUAAGUUGGAUGUGAAAUCCCCGGGCUCAACCUGGGAAUUGCAUUCAAAACUGCGUGGCUAGAGUGUGGGAGAGGAAGGGUAGAAUUCCAGGUGUAGCGGUGAAAUAGCGUAGAUAUCUGGAGGAAUACCGAUGGCGAAGGCAGCCUUCCUGGCCUAACACUGACGCUGAGGUGCGAAAGCAUGGGGGAGCAAACAGGAUUAGAUACCCCUGU